rnacentral:rRNA from 1 species
UCCGGUUGAUCCUGGCGGAGGUUACUGCUAUCGAGGUUCGACUAAGCCAUGCGAGUCGAAUGUAGCAAUACAUGGCGUACUGCUCAGUAACACGUGGACAACCUACCCUUAGGUCGGGGAUAAACCCGGGAAACUGGGUAUAAUACCCGAUAGUCCUCGAAUGCUGGAAUGCACCGAGGUCUAAAGCUCCGGCGCCUAAGGAUGGGUCUGCGGCCUAUCAGGUAGUAGUGGGUGUAGCAUACCUACUAGCCUACGACGGGUACGGGUUGUGAGAGCAAGAGCCCGGAGAUGGAUUCUGAGACACGAAUCCAGGCCCUACGGGGUGCAGUAGGCGCGAAAACUUUACAAUGCUGGAAACAGCGAUAAGGGAACCUCGAGUGCCAGGUUACAAAUCUGGCUGUCGUGAUGCCUAAAAAGCAUUGCAUAGCAAGGGCCGGGCAAGACCGGUGCCAGCCGCCGCGGUAACACCGGCGGCUCGAGUGGUAACCGCUAUUAUUGGGUCUAAAGGGUCUGUAGCCGGCCGGAUAAGUCUUUUGGGAAAUCUGGCAGCUUAACUGUCAGGCUUUCAGAGGAUACUGUCUGGCUCGAGGCCGGGAGAGGUGAGAGGUACUUCAGGGGUAGGGGUGAAAUCUUGUAAUCCUUGAAGGACCACCAGUGGCGAAGGCGUCUCACCAGAACGGACCUGACGGCAAGGGAC